AUGUCAAUCCACGCUACUAUUCCAUCCUGUUGUGACCCUGGUUUCCUUAUGGAUUACAAAAUUUUAAAUUGGAAUGUUCGGGGCUUAAACAACCCGGCCAAGAGAAGAGCAACUCUAAUGUUCGCAGCUGAGGUUGGAUGCAACAUAAUCUGCCUCCAAGAGGUGAAAUUAGCUGUGAUUACUCCUGCUAUUGUUGCUGAAAUCUUGGGCACCCAGUUCAGAGAGAACUUCAUUUACAAGCCUGCUGUGGGCACUCGGGGAGGAAUCCUCAUCGCUUGCUCCUCUGAUUUUGAGAUCACCCAUGAACCACUGGCAGAUGGACCAAAUUCAAUCUCAGGGACUGUUAGAGAUCGAACUAACAAUGAUUCUUGGACAAUCUCUGCUGUCUAUGGACCGCAAACAGACUCGGAUAAGAUAUUGUUCAUUGAGGAGCUCAAAAACAUCAAGCAGUUUGCUCAAGCCUGCUGGAUGGUGACUGGGGAUUUCAAUCUGAUAAAGAAGGCUGACGAGAAGAACAAUGGUAAUAUCAAUCUGCAAAUGAUGGGCUGCUUUGGACCAGCUUGA
rnacentral:rRNA from 1 species